GUUUGUGAUCUGUGUUUUUUAUGAGCAGUAAUGGUACAGCCAGGAUGCUUCAUGUUGGGUUUUAUUUCUGUGGGGACAGGAAUUUCUCCCAUAUGAAACAGAAAGGCUUCAUUUUCAUGUUUUUACUUGUUUGGAACUUCUCUACUUUCUCAGGAAACAUGACUGUUAAUAUAAAUGAGCAACGUAAUAUUUUGCCAGUCGCAACAUAACUUAAUUUUUCGCUGGGAUGUCGAGCUGUGAUACCGUGUCAGCAUUACAUCCAUCGAUCAGACUCUUUCAAAUGGUUUUACAAGAAGGACCAUAGCAGUAAGCAGGUUCAGUUAUUCUUCCAAGAUAAGAGUGGAGUGCAAUACCGUCAAAUGUCCAAUCCCAAAUUGAAAAUUGGAUCCAAUCAUUCCUUGGUUAUCAGCUCUUUUACUGAGGAUGAUGAAGGUGUGUACUGGUGUGAAACUUGCCAAGAAACAUGGCAAAAGUCCACUGACAUCAUAGUGAAGAAAGAGACAUGGAGACUUUUGAAGCAACGACUGCUGUUGGGAAAUCAGAAGUAAGAGCAACAACAGACAAUUUGACUUUCAACAAGUCUAUAUAUAUUGGAAAUGUCAGAAGAGAAGAUGCUGGGAAAUAUACCU